rnacentral:lncRNA from 1 species
AUGGCUCUGUGCUACCCACUAUGGCCGUGUGCCUUGACAAGGGCCACAAGAUGACCAAGAACAUGAGCAAGCCCAGGCACAGCUGCCGCCGCGGGCGCCUGACCAAACACCAAAUUCAUGUGGGACAUGAUCCGAGAGGUGUGUGGUUUCGCCCCGUAUGAGCGGCACGCCAUGGUGUUACUCAAGGUCUCCAAGGACAAACGGGCCCUCAAGUUCAUCAAGAAAAGAGUGGGGACGCACAUCCGCACUAAGAGGAGGCAGGAGGAGCUGAGCAAUGUCCCAGCCAUCAUGAGGAAAGCUGAUGCCAAGAAAGACUGA